UAAACAGAUUAUAGGUCUACAAGAAUCUGAUGGCAAAAAAAAGUUUAAAAAAUAGCGAUUUUCAUAUUUUAUGGCAACAAAAAAAAAGUCAUCUGUCGAAACUAAAAUUUCGAGGAAUUGUUUUUGCUUUGGCUUCAAAUUUCCUUUAAAAAGUGGUGUAGAUGUCGAAGAAAUCUCUUCGAUCGCAAGCAAGAAAUAUUGUUUUCAAUCUUUAUCAAAGAAUACUUGAUGAACAAGGUGCAGAACAAACACAAUCAUCUUUAUUGAGCCAUGUGCAAGCGUUGACUGGUGUUUCUAAUACUACCAUAAGACGAAUUGUUGUUGAAGGCAGAUCUAACAGAGAAGUAUUUAGUACGCCCGGCAAAAAGAGGAAAGGUGGCAAAAAAAAAAGCUUGGAUAGUUUUGAUUUAGAAUUGAUCAGAAACAAGAUAUAAGUAUGAGUUUUACAUUGUAAGAAAGGAAAUACCCACUGUCAUGAAAUUGUUACAAAUUCUUCGAGAGGAAAUCAAUUUCAAUGGAGGAAGUGAAUCAUUAAGACUUAUUUUGAAAGACGUCGGAUUCGAAUUCGUGAAGUGCCCAUCAAAAAGGACUAUUUUAAUGGAGCGACAUGACAUAAAGAUACACAGAUUCAAUGAACAAAUGCUGGCAAAAUAAAGAUAUUGCAGGCCCAUCUAAAAGUAUUUCGGCAGGGCCUAGAUAUACCAUUGUACGUGCUGGUGGAGAAAAUGGUUUUGUGCCAAACUGUUGAUUGGUGUAUAGGUCGAAGAGUACAUCUGCUGACUACCACCAUGAUAUGAAUAAAGAUAACUUAACAAAAUGGGUUACGGAGAAGUUGAUUCCCAACCUUACAAAACCUUUUUUAAUAGUCAUGGACAACGCCAAGUACCAUUCUGUACAAUUAAACAAACCGCCUACACAAGCCGACCGUAUUGCUGUUAUAAAAGAAUGGCUUCAAUCAAACAAUAUCCCUUACGACGAUAAUUGGCGUAAAUGUCAAUUACUGGAAGCAAUGAAAAAUCAUAAGUUUGAACCUAAAUAUCAGAUAGAUGAGAUUUUAAAAUCACACGGCCACGAAGUCUUGAGGCUCCCGCCAUAUCACUGUACGUUAAACCCCAUAGAAUUAAAUCUGGGGAAUAAUGAAACAAAAAGUUGCGGGUAAAAACGUCAAUAGACCUGCAAGUGAUAUAAAAUAUUUAACAGAAGAAGCUUUCUCUCAAAUAGGGAUCGAUGAAUGGCGAAAAUCUUGUGAACAUGUAAUAAAAAUUGAAAAUCAGUUCAUAGAACAAGAUCGAUUAAUUGAGAUGCAGGAGGAAAGGUUUAUCAUAAAUACUGCGUCGUCCUCGUCUUCCUCUUCAGAUGAAGACUUUUUUAUGGAUGUGCAGUAUUUGGAACCAUUUUCAAGUUCUGAUAGCCUAUAAUUAAUUAAUAAAUUCAUGAACAGAGUAA